CCUGGCUAAAGAGAAAGAAGGGGGAGGCGGCUGGAAAGCAGAGAAGUUGUACAAGGCCUGCCUCCUACUUUCUCCCUGAUGCUGCUCCGCCUUGACUGUUGGCAGCCAGGUAGAGACACAUGAAGCAAAGCAGGGUUUAUCUCCUAAAGGAGAAAGUCAAUGCAACAGGUUGUCAAGUUCUACCUCAUCUAAGUAGAGCUUAGAAAAGUUGCUCUUAUCAGGGCAACAUCAGGAUCUCCAAGAUGAAGGCUUUGAGGAACUGAAAUCGAUAAGAACCAUAAAAUCCUAGACAUGGAAGAGGCCCCGAGGACCAUCCACUCCAACUCCAUGGACUACAAAAUGAAAGCACUCCCGACAGAUGGUCCUCCAGCUUGUUUAAAAAUCUUCAAAGGAAACACCACCGUACUCCCAGGCAGCAUAUUCUAUCGUCAAACUGUCAGAAAGCUUUUACUGUCAGAAAGUUUUUCCUAAUCCUUAGAUGGAAUCACUGGGAUCUAUCUGUGGUGCUGUCUCUUUCUUGCCGCCUUCUCCAAGGGCUCCUUGACUUUUGCACUUGCCCAUUUCCAGAAUUGAACAAGGAUAUUAUCCAAUGCCAUUUUCAUUGUGCAAAGCAAUGGAUUCUGCAAAAGUGUAAUCCAGCCACAAGUAUGGUGGCAUGGAUUUUCACUUCUCUACCAUUAAAUUGGAUUUAAAUCAAAUCCUCAAAUGCCACUCUUGGUUAAGCCCAUAUUUGUUGAAACCCAGAUAAAUAUCAUGUGUUUCAAUAAACAAAGAAAAGAAAACCUUUUUCCUAAAAUAAAAUACAACCCAAAACAGGAUAGUGGGUGGGUAAGCUUUGUGAGCAUACAUGUGGUACGUGACGUUAACUGGAUAUGAUUUUUCAAUUAGCAGCCUAAUAUGGAAGGAUAAACCAGAUGCCUAGCUUAAUUGCCUCAAUUACAGUAGCUGUUACUCUUCACCAGAACCUGGCUGUCUUAUCCUUGCAUAUAGCAAUACUGAAAUAUUGAGCAGCCUGUCAUUAGUGACGAAAAGUCUUGUUAGCCCACAUAAGUCAAUGUACAGUGUAAAAAAAAACCCGAGACCUUAGAAUGAACCCAGCUGUAUACUUUGUCACUGUGAAGUCUUGCUUUUCUUUUAAAAUGUGCAGCCUGCAGGUCGAGAUCAUAUUAUGCUACAUUAACAAGAUUAUGAUUACAAUCUGUAUAAAUAUGUUUUCACACUUGUUACUCCUUCGUGUGAAAAUGGCUGGAUGGUUUCAACAAAUUUGGAGCAUGAAAUUUAGGCUGCAUGUUGUACAUAAGACUUGGGGGGGGGGUAUAGAGAGCCCUCCAGUAAUUUUUUUUAAUUUUACGAGUAUACGGUGCUUUCAAAUCAACUUCGACUUAUAGUAGUCCCAUUGUCCUCAACGGUCUUCUCAGGUCUUGCAGACUCAGGCCUGUGUCUUCCUUGACUGGGUUCAGUCAUCCAGAAUGGAGAAAAUGAAGGAUGUGCCCUUCUCUGGACAUGUUCCAGUUUGCCAAUCUCCUUCUUGAUUUGUGGAGCACAGAUCUGCAGAGUGUUAUUUCAAGUGAGGCGUCAAUAUGAAUAGAGUAGAUCUAUGACUUCCUCCAGUCUGGACCAUUGUACUCAUUGAGUUCUUCGGUAUAAGUAUGAAUUUAAAAGAAGGAUAAGAAAGUGUUUUCUCCCUUUUUUUCCCUUUAUGUUUGAGCUCUUAGCACAUUCUUGAUAUUUUAAAACUCAAAAUGGUUUUGAAACAAGUUAACCCUUCCUCAAAGCUUUGGCCAAAGAGGGGCAUCUGUUUCACAACGAAGAUAACCACAAAGAAGUACAGUAGAGUCUCACUUAUCCAACACUCGCUUAUCAUAGAAUCAUAGAAUCAUAGAAUAGUAGAGUUGGAAGAGACCUCAAGGGCCAUCUAGUCCACCCCCCCGCUAAGAAGCAGGAAAUCGCAUUCCCCAUUCAAUAAACUGAUUAUCCAACAUUCUGGAUUAUCCAACGCUUUUUUGUAGUCAAUGUUUUCAAUACAUCGUGAUAUUUUGGUGCCAAGUUCGUAAAUACAGUAAUUUCUACAUAGCAUUGUAUUGAACUACUUUUUUGUCAAAUUUGUGGUAUAACAUGAUGUUUUGGUGCUUAAUUUGUAAAAGCAUAACCUAAUUUGAUGUUUAAUAGGCUUUUCCUUAAUCCCUCCUUAUUAUCCAACAUAUUCGCUUAUCCAACGUUCUGCCGGCCCAUUUAUGUUGGAUAAGUGAGACUUUACUGUAUAAGGGACACGGAGAGUGUAAGGUGUAGCAUUCUUAGGUUUUAACCCCCAGCCCAGGAAGUUGCAGCUCUUUUUCUGAUUUAAGUCUAUUUAAUGCCAUGGCUGACAAAGAUUCUAUAAAACAUGUCCCACAACUCGGUCUAAUAUAAUUAAGCACAAAUCAAAUGGAAAGCAAUUACAAGCAAAUCCUGUCCCCACACAUCAAAAGGUGGGCGUUAGAAAAGGAUACCCAAAGGAUACUAAUGUGUAUCCUUUUCCAAAAUCUUCCAUUCAGUCUGCUAUAAAAUGUUCAGAAAUGCUGUAUGUAGUGCUUUUUCUGAAGACAAAAUAUUCUGGCACAAGCUUUAACAAAUUAGGGACCAUCAGAAAACCUACAUUUAAAAAAACAAAAAAAAACCUGUCUCUGUUGAUAGUAAAAAUACACCAUCUGGUGGCCAGAAAGGUAGUAGUACUGAAUAUUUCAUAGUAUGAGUGUUCCAGUGAAUAUGUGAGUAAAGCCGUUUGGAGUCAUGUACUCCCAGUAGGGUAUCCCAUGGUAAAAAGGUCACAGCGGAGGAACCAGACCAAGCAUGAUAAGAAGACCAAAGACCUCAAUGGCUGUGGCGCAGGCUGUUGAGCAACCAGCUGCAACAAAUCACUCUGAUCAAGAGGUCAUGAGUUCGAGGCCAGCUCCGUGUUUGUCUUGUCUUUGUUCUAUGUUAAGGCAUUGAAUGUUUGCCUCAUAUGUGUAAUGUGAUCUGCCCUGAGUCCCCUUCGGGGUGAGAAGGGCGGAAUAUAAAUACUGUAAAUAAAUAAAUAAAUAAAUAACAA